AACGAACGCUGGCGGCAUGCCUAACACAUGCAAGUCGAACGAGACCUUCGGGUCCAGUGGUGCAUGGGUGCGUAACGCGUGGGAACCUGCCCUUAGGUUCGGAAUAACUCCCCGAAAGGGGUGCUAACACCGGAUCAUGUCUUCGGACCAAAGAUUUAUCGCGUCUGGAUGGGCCCGAGUUGGAUUAGCUGGUUGGUAGGGUAAAAGCCUACCAAGGCGACGAUCCAUAGCUGGGCUGUGAGAAUGAUCAGCCACACUGGGACUGAGACACGGCCCAGACUCCUACGGGAGGCAGCAGUGGGGAAUAUUGGACAAUGGGCGGAAGCCUGAUCCAGCAAUGCCGCGUAAGUGAUGAAGGCCUUAGGGUUGUAAAGCGCUUUUACCCGGGAUGAUAAUGACAGUACCGGGAGAAUAAGCUCCGGCUAACUCCGUG
rnacentral:rRNA from 1 species